rnacentral:lncRNA from 1 species
UGAACUUAAUUUGGAUUCAACGGCUUGAGUAACUUGUCUUGAAUCUUCGUCUUCGGACUUGAAUUUGGAUAUUAGUUCAUCCACGAAUGAUGAAUAUCAAUAAGUAACUUGAUCUUGAAUUUGAUUUUGAGCUUGAUUGCUUGAAACUUAUAAAUUGCAGAGAAAUUAUGAUUUUUAAUCCAGUAGCUCUCUUCUUACUUCUUGUUUCUCUCAAAA